AUAAAUCUGCACAGAAGUACAUUUUGUUAUGAUUUGUUUUGACAUUCUCAAUUACAUUUUGGAACCCUUACCUACAAUGUCCCAAGCAAUCUUUCAUCCAGCUGGAUACAUUUUGUUAAACUCAACCAAGGUACUGAACAUGAUUUAUUUAUUUAGCUGUGAACUCUGGCUUCUUUGGCAUAAUCAAAACCUGAACUUGCACUGAAGAUCUCUUGCUAUCUUAUUAUUAAAUACUACAAAGCCAUCAAAGACUCACUUUCAGAAACACUGGGAUGCUGUGGUUCCUUCCUGUAGUAAAUAGAGGAUAUGAAACUACUAAUUUGUGUUCAGUAGGUAUUGGUGUAAAAACUGGUCUUUUUAUAGGCACUGGUGAAAUGAAUAUAAACUCAUCAUUUUCAAUAUCAAUCCCAGGUACUGGAAAAGGUCAGUUUCACUCCAAUCCCAAAGAAAGGCAAUGCCAAAGAAUGAUCAAACUACCGCACAAUUGUACUCAUCUCACAUGCUAGUAAAGUAAUGCUCAAAAUUCUCCAAACCAGGCUUCAGCAAUAUGUGAACCGUGAACUCCCUGAUGUUCAAGCUGGUUUUAGAAAAGGCAGAGGAACCAGAGAUCAAAUUGCCAACAUCUGCUGGAUCAUGGCAAAAGCAAGAGAGUUCCAGAAAAACAUCUAUUUCUGCUUUAUUGACUAUGCCAAAGCCCUUGACUGUGUGGAUCACAAUAAACUGUGGAAAAUUCUUAAUGAGAUGGGAAUACCAGACCACCUGAUAUGCCUCUAGAGAAACCUAUAUGCAGAUCAGGAAGCAACAGUUAGAACUGGACAUGGAACAACAGACUGGGUUCCAAAUAGGAAAAGGAGUACAUCAAGGCUGUACAUUGUCACUCCCAGAGUUUCUCAUGAUGCUGGGAGGGAUUGAGGGCAGAAGAAAAACAGGACGACCGUGGAUGAGAUGGCUGGAUGGCAUCACUGACUCGAUGGACAUGAGUUUGAGUGAACUCCAGGUGUUGGUGAUGGACAGGGAGGCCUGAUGUGGUGCGAUUCAUGGGGUCGCAAAGAGUCGGACACAAAUAAA
ensembl:lncRNA